GGCCCUCUUCCUUCCCCCUCCUGGUGCCUGGUGCCUGCUAUUCCAGUUUUAUCUUUGGUCUUUUUGUGGACAGAUGUGUCAGGCUUUUUACUGGCGGUUCCUUUUGUGGUUAAGAAGAUCCACUGCUCCCUAAUUUACUCCUCAGCCCUGAGCUCUUACUUUUCCUUCUAAACUGGCUUCCUGCACGUUUCCUUUUUCAUAGCUGCAUGAGCUCUUCCUUCGUAGUACUUUGCACAGUUUGUAUCUGUACAGAGUCUUCACCUUUUGUUUUUUCCUACAAUACUGAGCAUUGGACCUUGGGCUUUACAAUGGGCUACAUCACCAGCCCUUUAAAAGCUUGUUUUUACAAUUUUGAGACAGGAUUAUUGCCCAGGCUGGGUGCAAACUCUCAGUCCCCCUGCCUCACACUUCCACAGUGUAAAGAGUACAGACGUGCACCACCACAGCCAGCUGUCACCACCUUUUUAUGCUGCUUUCUUCCAUUAGAUGCUGAGCCCUUGAGAGCUGAGGCCCUGAACAAAGCAACCACUCGACAGAUAUUCAUUGAAUAGGCGAAUGAAUGGAUGGGCACAAUCAAAUGAACCCUACCUCGAGGCACAAGGAAGAGCCUGGAGAGAAGGUGAGAGCUGAUCAUUGCACUGGGAGUACCGGCCCCCCAAUAUUUCCACGGAUUUUAACUUCACAGUCAUACGUGAGUGCGUUUUGAAGGACGAUUCACCAGAGGAAAAUGCUUCAUAUAGAUUCUGUGAGAGAAUUUUCACCAUGUCCAGGACUAGAGGGAAUCAGAGAGAUUUAAAGUAUUGUAAGGAUGAUUGAUCAUAGCUGUGCAUGUAAGGGGGGGCAGGACCCCUUGGUGAUGUGCCUCAGGGAUGCUAGAAGGAAAGGUGAGGUGCACAGCCCUGGUUAGUGUAGUUGGGCUAAAAUCUUGAUGGACAAUUCAGACGUUUUCUAGCUUCAGCCUUCUUGUCACUACCACUGGAACCUCCCUGGUGGCUUUAUGGGCAGGCUUACCUGUCCAUUCCUUUCACUGGAUGUUAUAAGUGAAUGAGGAGCAUUUACAUUGGUUGGUGGGUCUGAGGUUUCCCUUUUUCUGUUUUAAUUUUUACCCUUGCUCAUCUCAUGAUGGAAACCUCACAUGCAGGCCAUGGACCCACGGUCAGUACCCUGUGCUCUCGGUCACACAUUCUUCUGUACAUAGAUGCCAUGUUGUGCAGGACAUGUGGGCUUGCAAGCCAUGGCACUGGGGCUUAUAUAUUUUGCUUUGUGACCACAGGCCCCUCAUUUAGCAUCAGUUGGCCUCAGUUUAUCCACUUGGAAAAUAUGGCAACAGUAGCAUCUCCCCUAAAUGUUAUGAAACUUUAAUGAGCACAAGUAUACCAGAUAUUCAGAAUGGUUAUGUACAUCAUAGAGCUGUAAAAGUGAAUGCCAGAUAUCAUUACCACUUAUAUAUGUAAUUAAUAUCUAAAAAAGGCAAAACACAAUGAGUUUACUGAGUGUGAAAUGAGGAAAAACUUUACUUACACUGUUUUGUUUGUUUAUAAUAAAGUUUAGAAAGCUUUCCAUUGAAACGAAAACAAUUUUGUAACUUAAAACAGUUCUCUGCAGGAGGAUGAAGACAGCCCAGUCCUCCAAAUCAUGCGUAGGAUACUGGAGACAAGAGCUUUGCUGAUUAGUCUGCCUACAAUAGGGACCUCUGGGAAGGACUGGUGGCUCAAAAGCCAUCAUAUUCUUUCUUGGUGUAAGAAAACAAAAACACAUGCACACAAGUCCUCUCGACUGCUUGUGCAAAGUAACUCUUAAAUGGAUGUUCUUUCUCACUAGUGAAUAGCCCGAAACGUGGACUGGAGGCAGAAAGUGUGGUUUGGACUCCUUAUAGCUUUUCCAGGGAUGAGCAUAUCCCUCAUUUUAAUACUGAGGACACUGAGGGACAAUGAUGUGUCCCAGAUCAUGCAUCCACAUGUUGGGUCAUUAAUUUAUUCAUUGUGUUAAAUAAACCUGAGGACAAGGAGCUCAGGACCAGCUAGGCUGGGAGUGCCCAGCAAUAGUAAAGUUAUGUGCUGUCCGCCACAAGGCCCUAGAACCAGUCCAGCACCAAACCAUUACAGUACUGCACAGUGAUGGCUGACGGGCAGGGGUCACAGUGGGCUGGGACACUGGCAUUGCUAUUUUACAAACCCCAAAAGUGGAACAAAUUGAACUAAGUCUCAAAACAGGAGUAGUAUUUUUCCAGAUGACAAAAAGUGGCGAGUCUAGUCUUCUUGAUCAAAAUUGUAAUUAAGGAAGGGUGACCUAUGAUUAACUAAAAGAUAUACAUAUCUUAAUCUCAUGUAGUUUGAAUAAGCUUGAAUUUAAAAAUUUACUCCUUUUUCAUCUACAAUUUAAGUUUAUUAUUUAAAAACUUGAAAAUUUCAGGAUGAAGAAAAAUAACCAGCGCAUUCACCUACACAUUUCCCACCCCUUUUUCUCUGCAUUAAAAUAACAAGUACGUAUGAACCUGAGGCCAUAGACAUUCUCUUGCACCACUGCGUACGCACCUUUGCCAUCAGCUGCGAGGUUGGCCAAGUGUUAAAUCACGCAGUUUCUCCCCACUUCAUUUGGCUCAGGCUCCGUAUAUGGACAUUUAAGCCAUUGACUGAACAGCUCUGAAGCUACGCCAAGCUAAGCUGAAGAAUGUGACUGAGGUAGAGGCGACUGGGGACAAAUCAAGUAACAAAUAUUCAGUGAUCCAUCCCUUUCUUUCCUGUCAGAUAUUUGCCUUAGAUUCAGCUGCAAUUUUUGAAAGCUAAUGAAGCUUGGGUAUUUUGAAAAAAAAAAAAAAACAAAUAUGCAGAAGUAUUCUUCCGGAGCUUUGCACAGUAGUAAUGAGUUCUGUACAGUGGCUUCUAGGGGCAGGUGGAGAUGGGGAACAUUUACUUUAUCCCCCUGAGCGUAAGCCCAUGUGGGAGUAAACUCUGAAACGCAAUACAACCUUGAAGAAAUAUUUUCUCAGAAUUAAAUUACAAAGGUCUAAACCUAUGCCUGUAUAGUGUACUUUACAAAGCCCUCUGAGUGCUAACAGACAUGUAAGUACAGAAAAGUCCUGGCAGUGUGAUCUUGAAAUCAACAUAUCAUGAUUGCAAUUUUUCUCUUGUCCUCUUUUCUCCAUCCUUUCUUAGUUUUUGAGUGCCAGCUUUGUACUAGGUGCUUUUCAGGCACUCAGGGGGAUGUAAUAGAUGUAUGUCAACCUUACUUGUGAGGACCCUAUUCACAGUCCUGUGGGAUUGGAAGCUGUAGACACAUUUUCACUCGUGCAUGGGUGAAUGCACUGCACAUAGGCCUUAGAGAAGCUUACCUGUGUCUAGAGAGGGCAAAGAAACUCACAGAGCAGCUGAGGGUUGCAGUGGACUUCACUAGGAAAAUGAGGGAGGAAGGCUUGGACAAAUGCAUGGAAGGGGCUUCAUAAGUGCUUUAUGUAUAGGGAGACAUACUGUGUUCCUGAAGACUCAGAGAUACUGGAGAUGGAGCUCAGGGAGGGGAGAACGGGGCCUCAUACUGUCUGGUAGAGGACUUAGAUUUUUCUCCCAUACACAAUGAGGAGCUGCCAAAAAAUUCUUUAUGGAGGAAACAAUGAUUGGUUGUAGUGUUUCCUGUUCCUUGCAAUAAAGGUUACAUUACCCUGGAACAGUCUUUCCAAACCCACUUUGCUUUCCAUAUAGUUAACUUUCAUUCAUCCUUCAAGUCUCAGCUGGAAUAUCACAUCUUCCAAGGGUAUUUACUUACCUUUGCUGGGUAGGCAAAUUUGGAUACACUUCCUACACUCUCCCAGACUGUACAGAACCCUUAAUCCUUUACCAUGUGGCACUGUGACAAUUUGUAUAACUCAUGUGCUUUGUGGGAUGUGACUGUCUGCUUUGAUUUUUCCACCCCAGUUACUAGCACACAGCCUGUGCUGGGAAGAUGCUUGUUUGCUUUCAAGUCCCUUCGGCUUCUCUGCUCUGCACCCCAAAGCCCCACCUUUGGAUUGCUCUUCUUAGAAUCCCUUGCCAACUGGCUUCCUGAUAGUUUUGGCCAGUGGGAAACACCAUGGGAAGAACUAGUGGGAAAAGACAAGGAUAUUUCUUUCUCUCUCUCUCCUUUGAGCAGCAUCCCUGAUGGCGACCAUGUCCUCUCCAAGGUCUUAUCUUCUGUGCAUCCCUGUCUCCAAGGUUUUAGUUCCUGCCCAGUGGCCACUGCCUCUGGCUCUGACAACAUCACAUCCUUCUCGUGCCCCUUUAACUUUUGGGAUAAUAACCUCCUGCUCUUAUUUCUUGGUUGCUUUCUUUUCCCUUGCUUGGCUUGUCAGCUUUUCCUACACCAUUAGAACUAGCUCUCUGCAUUCAUUUCCCCAGCACAGGCCCCCUUUUGACUUCAACUUAUGUACACAGUUCUCAGUAGAACAGGAUGCUUGGUACAUGUGUGUGGGUCAAUGCACGAGGAAAAAGCUGAGCAAAAUGCAUAGCAAUGCAUACCUGUAAUUCCAGCUACUCAGAAGGCCGAGACAGGAGAAUCACAAGUUGGCAGGAGGAUCUAGAUAGACAGAUAGAGAGAGAGAUAGAUAGAUAGAUAGAUAGAUAGAUAGAUAGAUAGACAGACAGAUAGAUACAUAGAUACAUAGAUAGAUAGAGAAAGUGAAUGUGAUGGAUUGACAACUAUCGAUCAACUUGUAACACUCAGCUGAACUGAAUCAGCAUGCUACUGGGUGUGGAGAGCCCUCCUGAGGAUUGUUGCCAACCACAUAUAAAGGAGAAUUGGAGAAGAAGAAGUUGAUGCUACUAGUUCUGGAAGAGCUUGUCAUGCUGGCUUUCCAGAUAGAACUUGAAUGUUCUCAUCUCAUCAUUUGUGGAGCUCAGCACCUCAAUGUGGCUGAGGAUGAGUGUAGUACUUUUUGGGGAGCACUGGUCCUUAUUUGGAGCUUUGCUCUCAGGCUCCAGAAGGAAAGAUGGUGUGCUGUGCAGGCUCUAGCAGAAGCUUGUCCUGCUGGCUUCCUGAUAUGCAUUUGGUUGAGCUCAUCUUCAGAGGAGCUUGAGACUUUGUUGUCACUGAGGAUGGCUGUGGUACUUGUCUGGGGAGCUCUGGUCCUAACUUUGAGCAUCACUUCCUGGCUCCAGUGCAGAUCCUUUAGCCUACUGGCACAGACUUUCUAGCUUCUACUGCUGACUGUUGUGCCUUCCCAGCACAGAUCUGCACACUUGAGGCAUUAUUGUGAGCUCUAGGCCUCCAGUUGGACUCUUGGGGGGCAUUCUCAUGGGCUCUAGGUCUUCAGCUGAACUCAUGUAGGACAUUGCCAUAGGAUCAUACCCCCAGCUGAAUUCUGUGGGUCUUUAGUGUGUGGACAGAUUUCCUGAAAUUGUACAUUUUUGUAUUUGACUCUUUGUGUAACUAUUAUAAAAAUAAUUCUGGAUGGAAGCUAAGGCCAUGCCUGUAAGCUGGCCAGAGCACAGGCUGGGGAGAGAACAGCCCCUUUCUCUACCCUGUAAGCAACCAACUGAUUGGGAGGAACUGUAUUGUUUGAUAGAUUUUGCAAGCGUAAAGUCAAGCAACUGUCUAGAAGACACCAAUAUGCAACGUCCCAAGUGUUAUAGAUUCCCUACUGUCCUAACACUGUUUUCAUUUGUUUUAUUGAUGCUUUAUUCCCUUUAACAUAGAAUUUUUUUAAAAACUCUAUGAAUUAUGUGUCCUGCAUGAAGUUGUUUUCCUUGCAGAUCCUCACUGUAACAGUAUAGAUACACUUCAGUGGUGGAGCGCUCUUAAGUUCUAUCUCCAAUAUUGGGGCAAAUUUUUCAAUCCUAUCCUUUCCUCCUACCUGGAGCAGGUGGCCAAAAGAAGACUGCUUUCCAGGAGGGGCCACAGAUCAGUUUCUCCUUUGCUCAGCUCAUAUUUCCCCAGCUUGUUCAGAAGGUUGACAAGAUUAUUAGGAGGAAAGGCAGCCCUUCCUUUUGUGGGCAGGUGACUGAAGUGGACUCUCACUGUGGCGCAUCUGUGGGUUUUUCUGAGGCCCCUUCCCUGCCCCUCUGCCCACAGUUCGUGAGAUGCGGGCAGGGCCUUCUGUCCCUUUGGAUUUCUCCGCCUCAAGCCCUUGGUUUGAUGAUGGCCCAGGCUGCACCAAUCUUCAUCCUACACACACACACACACACACACACACACACACACACACACACCACUCUCAGGCAGGGCUGGCCACUGCUCCCACUUGGCUUUUCCACCUCUUUGUGGUCCUGGAAACAUACAUGCUUGCUCUGAGGAACAGUGGGAGUACUGCCCAAUUCCAGGACAGCCUGUUCCCUGGCCUUUGUGUCUUUGCGUGAAUCAGUAUUGUUCCUUCACGCCCCGCCCCACAGAGCAAGGUGAGCACAGCAGGCAGCCCCUGGGAGUGUGGGGACCUCAGUAAUGUCCUUCCUCAAGAUAUCACUGCAAAUCUUUCCCCUUUCAGAGAGACCCUUCCAUGGUCUCAGGAAGGGACAGUACUCAGGGUCACAGAACCCUUCCUCAGAGUUUCCUGUGACAGUUCUGCAGACUGUGGGCUCUCACGUUCUCCCAUUCCUGUGCUUCAGUAGAGGUGGAGACCGGGAAAGUGGCCAACAAGUCUGUCAUAGGGCUGGAGUGAAAACUGACCGAGGGAUCAGGUUAGAGAUUUUAACCCCCUCCCUGGCUCACUGGUGCACUCCCACCGCACCUGUUAUUUGGGUCGGAACCUGAAAACCUACCGGGGCCUGAAGACCCCAAGUGCUCAAGCAGUCUUUCCUCCAUCCGAUUUUCAGUCAUCAAUCAGCCUGCCAGUGAAGAUACUGACCAGGACUCAAUUCAGCAGAGUAAGAAAGUGCUAAGUGAAUACGUGGGGUGCAAACGUGGGCGUGUGUGUCUCGUUUUUCCAACUGCAUGGCAAGCAACCUCCGUCUACCCUGUUCUAGCCCAAACUGCUUCUCUUUCUGUCCUCACCUGCCCAGAAGGGUCAGGGUUUCAGCCAGGUGCGCCCACGAAGCGCGAGGCGAGCUGCCCAGAACUGCCGCACGGUGGCGCCGUUGGACGCCCCUCGGCCCCCACAAAGCAGCUUUUGUCCGCCUUGGGCACAGUCGCUGAAGCUUUGGGAGGGAAGAUGACCCCAUUCCCUCAGUGGUAACCUCAGCCAGGAGUGACUCCCACUGGAGCUCACGAGGCUGCACUCAGCUGAUUCUGCACCCGGUUUCCUUUCACAGCUGCUGUCCAGGUGCCAGCUGGUCCCUGGAGCCUCAGGGCAGCGCGGGCUGCUGGGAUUCUUUGUUUCAACUUCAGGCACAAUAGAGUCCUGUUAUCACCUCCCCUUCCUGGACCACGGGGCUAGCUGCUUGCCUUCCAUCUAGGCUUCUGAGAACGAGGGUCUGGGGACUCUCUGGGAGACUCGAGGACCAUCCCGUCCCUCCAUCCUUGCUAAUGACAAGAUGGCAGUCACAGAGAGUCCUGGGGAUGAAGCCACAACCCGCCCACGUUGAGGAGAAGCCAGGCAGUGAAGGGAGUCUGAGGCUUCCAGGAUGAGAUAAUAAAAUGGCAAUCUGGCUCAUCUCCACACACUUCAAGGAUUCCUGUGCAGUGGAGGAAGACGGACAACAAGGGAGGAACAGGAGGCCAAGUCACGGAAACCUCUGUGUGUCACGCUUCUUUUGCAAACCACUUGUUUCCUGCCUAACCGCUGAAGCUUGAGCGCAGAGCUGUCUAUCAGGAAGGCAAAGCUCUCGGGCCUGCUUCUGCGUUGGGGCCAGGCCGGGAGGGGUAAUGGGGAGCCUGAGUUGCUUGUUAGAUCUAAGCCAAAGCUCUUCUGAGGGCAAGGUCCUUGUAGCUGCAAACCCAUUUCAGAGCAUAGUGAAUCUCAGCAAAGACUAGACAGGGGGCUCAGGUCAGGGAGGCAGCCCACCUUCAUCUGUGUUGGGAUUCUGUAUUUAUUAUUAUUAUUAUUGUUGUUGUUGUUGUUGUUGUUGUUUAUUUCCCAGGGCUGCUGUACAAAGUACCACUGAGUACCACUAAGACAGGAAGUUCAAGAUAUCUGUAUGUUGGUUCUUUCUGAGGCCUAUGAGAGAGAUUUCUCCAUGCUCUAGCUCCACAAGAUACCUGUGGUAUCCUCUGGCUUUUAGAAACCCCACCUCCACGUCUGCCUUCAUUCUCAUUUGGUGUCUUCCUUAUGUGUCUGUCUCUGUGUCCAAAUCUACCCUGUUUAUAAUAACGCUUUUCACAUCGGAUGAGGGCCCACUGGAACUGAUUUCAUCUCAAAUGACCCUAUUUCCAAAUAAGGUCACAUUCUAAGGUACUAGCAGUUAGAUUUCAUUAUAUGUUUUUUAAGGGGUCACAGUGCAGCCCAUAGCACCAUAAUUCUGAUUUUAUUUUCCUCUGGUGACCAUCGACAGUACCUAUGGGGAAGAAGUCAGAGCAACUCAAGGAGGGCCAGGCAUACUCUUGGGGAGAACUAAGGGGUGGUCAGGAAGCGGGGAGACUGUGGGAGGGUUUGUGCUAGACAGCAGCCCAGCAUGUGGAUGUCUCAUAGAGCACCUGCAGACAUGCAGAGGGGACAGUGAGCAGUGCAGUGCUGGUUGUCCCCCACAUCUGUGCUCAGGACUGGCAGGGACACGAAGAGAAAGAAAGCUCCGGGCGGGCAGCUAUACCUCACAGCUGUACCACUGAGGAUCUGUGGAGAAGCAAUCCUUGGACUUCAGACAGAAACGGGGAGAGAACCGUAAUCAGGAGCCCAAGUUCUGGGGGACUUUGGGAUAGGAGAUAGGAAGAGAAGUGGGAUCCUGUGCAAAUGGGGUUCCUGAGAUGACUGGGCAAUCAUUCAGGCAGACAUCCAGGAUUAGCUAAGAUAGUUCAUCACUUCCUCUCUGAAACGCAAGAUUAAUUUAAUUAAAAAGCAUCAUUACAGUUGGUUUGUACAAAAAGUAAGUAGGGGACAUUUGCCUUACUAAAUAUUAAAUUUCAGACGAAACAAUUGUCAUAAAAAGGAUGUGUUCUAGGCCAGUGAUGAAUGGUCCACUGAAGCACGGUAUAAUUCAGGAAUAGACACGGUUUGUUUACAUACAUAAAAUCUGAAAAAAAUGACACUGCAACUCAGUGGGAAAGUUAUGCUUGAUUUAAAAAAAGAGAUAUUGACAUAAUUUGCUCUCCAUUUGGGAAAAACAAGGAGGUAAAUCACCUCUUACCAUAAACAAAAAUAAAUCCCAAAUGGGUUUGGGUUAAAGGUCUAACUAAAACUACAUAAUACAUAUAUAAAAUGUCUGAGGGGAGUCUAGUGGAAAGUUUGUAUAAUUUUGUUAUGGAGGGGAUAUUUUUAAUAGUGGAGGAAUUCUCAAAAAGCAUAAAGGAGGAAAAAACAGGAGACAUGUUUCCACAUAUUUCUUAAAAUUAUAAGGAAAAUACCAUGAACAAAAGACAAAGUAUAGGCUAAAAUAAAUAUUUGCAAAUAAUGAUAAUUUGAAUUUGACCUUUCCUAUGUGUAUUACUUGUAUUUCUUUCCUGAUUAUUUUGGCUAAUAUUUCGAGCACAAUGUUGGGCAGACACCGUGAUAUCAGACAUCUUUAUCUUAUUUCUGAUUUUAGAGAGAAAGUUUUCAGCCUUUUCUCAUUUAAUAAAAUAUUAGCAGAAGGUUGUCAUAAAUGGAUUUUAUCAGGUUGAGUUAAAGUGCAUCUAUAAUUAUUUUUAGUUUUUUUAAAACUAAUGAAUAGAUGUUGGAUUUGCAGAAACACAGUCCUCUACUUAGAAAACACAAAAAUUCUAUCAAAAUAUUCCUGAAAUUAAUAACCCAAUUCAGUAGUAUAGCAGAAUACAUAAUCAGCAUACCCAAAAUCAAUAGCUUUCUGUACACCAAUAAUGAACUCACUGAGAAAAGAAAUGAGACAAUACUAUUCCCGAUAGUAUUGAGUAAAUUAAAGGCUUAUGAACUAAUCUAAUUAAUGAAUUGAAAGACCUUUACAAUGAAAAUUACAGUUCUCUGAAAAAGAUUAAAGAAAAUUUUGGAAAACAGAAAGUUAUCCCAUCCCUAGGUAAGCAAAAUGACUAUAGUCAAAAUGGCCAUAUUUCCAAAACCAACACACAUGUUCAAUGGAAUCCCAAUCAAAAUCCCAGCGGCAUUUCUCACAGAACUGGAGGAAACAAUCCUAAAAUUCAUGUGGAACAAGGAGAACCCCACUGCAGCAAAAGCAAUCCUGAUCAACAAGAAUGAAGCAGAAGUCUUCAUAAUCUCAGACUUCAAGUAAUAUUACAGAGCCAUAGUGAUACAAACAGCAUGGUACUAGCACAAAAAUAAGCAUAUGGAUCAGUGGAACAAAAUAGAGAAUGCAGAAAUGAUCACAGACGUAAUAAGCUGUCUGAUCUUUGACAAAGGGGUCAGAAAUAUACACUAGAGAAAGCAUAGCCUAUUUAAUAAAUGGUGCUGGGAAAACAGGCUAUCCACACACAGAAGAUUGAAUCCAGAUCCAUAUAUCUCACUAUAUAUUAAGCUAAAAUAAAAAUGGAUCAAAGACCUUAAUGUUGAAACAGAAACAAUCUACUGGCAGAUAAAGUGGGUAACAUUCUUGAAGGUGUAAAGUUAUGUCUUCAGAACCCCAGUGAUAAGAAAUAGCUCAUAGAACCAAUCAGUGGAGUCAUAUCAAAUACAAAAUCUUCUACACAGCAAAGAAAACUAACACAGUGAAGAGACAACCUACAGAAUGGGGAAAAAUUGCCAGCUCAUCGUUGGACAGAGGACUGAUAUCUAAAAUACAGGAAGAGUUAAAAAGAUUACCCCUCAAUAAAAGACCUCCAUCAAAAAAUAGGCAACUGGAAAGAAUAGACACCUUUGUAUUCUUCUCAGAAGGAUACAAAUCAUCAGAAAAUACACAGAAAAAUGUCAGACAUCUCUGGCUAUUAGAGAAAGGCAAGUCAGGAAAACAUUCAGAUUUCAUCCUACUUCAGAAAGACUCUCUAUCAUCAAGAAAUCAAAUAAUGCAAAAUGCUGGUGAGAAUGCAGGGCAAGGGAAUACUUUUAUAUUGUUGGUGGAAAUGUGAACUAGUGCGACCAUUAUGGAAUUCAGCAUAGAGAUUCUCAAAACGACUACUAAAAGUAGAAAUUUCCUUUGGCCCAGAUAUUUUUGUACCUUUCCCAAAGAGUUAAAGACUUCUUACUAUAGUGGUAUAUGCAUUACCAUGUUUAUAGCAGCACAAUUCAUAACAUAAAUCUUGUAAGUGGCCUAUAUUUCCAUCAACAGUUGAAUAGAUAGUGAAAAUGUGGUAUUAAUACACAGUGGAAUACUACUAGACCAUAAACAUGAUUAAACUUGAGUCGUCUGUAAGAAAAUGGAUAUCCCUUGAGAUCAAAAUGUUAAGUGAAAUAAAUCAGACACAAAAACUUAAAAUGUCAAAUUUCACGAGAAACCAAAACUAUAAAUAAAAAGCAUAAUAAAAGAAAGAUAAUAGGAAAUAGGGUGAUAGAUCUUUUGCAAAUGGGAAAGGAACCAAGAGAUAUAACAAGGGGGAAAAUUAAGAUGUGUUAUGUACAUGUACCAAUUCUCCACAAAGAAUGCAUUCAUUGUAUACUGCAUCAUGUACUAAUAGAAAAAUGGGGAAAAGCAAAUAAUUCUUGCAAAAAUUAAAUACAAAUAUUUGCAGCACCUACAAGGGAUGUUAUCCUUAAUACAGAAAAUGCUCAUAUAAAUUGGUAGCAAUGGCAAAGAAUAGAGACAUAAGAAAAUAUACAGUCAAUUCACAGAGGAGGAAAGGAAGAUUUAAGUAGAAAGCAGAUUUGCCAGAGACAGUAAGAUUUAAUUCUUUAUUCACCAAAUUUGCAAAAACUAAAAAGAUCCAUUCACAAAGAUCAUGGAUCAGACUGAGCGCAGAAGAAUGAAUGAAUACUAAACCUUGCUGGUGGACGUGAGAACUGUAUAUCCUCCUGGGAGGAAUAAUCUAUCAAUGUCUCUUACAAUUCAAAAUCCAUGCUCAUUAGCUCAGCAACUGCAUUUUGGGCAGUCAUUUCAGUGAGUACAAAAGCCUCACGCUUGGCAGUAUAUUCAUGAGAGUGUUUGGAGAAGCGUUGUUUGUUGUGACAAAACCUUAGGCAACACAGGCUUAUCUAUUAACAAUCAAAAGGUUCAAGAAACACAGCCUCCACACUGUGGGAUGUGACAGCACCAGCCCUAGCAAAAACAAACAAGUUAGCUAUCAAGACGUUCACAUGGAGAUGCUAAUAUAUUAAGUAAAAAAAAUUUUUUUUUUUGUCUUUUUGAGACAGAGUCUCAUUAAUACAGGUCAGGCUGGAUUUGAGUUCACUUUGUAGCUCAGGCUGGUCUCGAACUUGCAGUGAUCCUCCUGCCUCAGUCUCCCAACUGUUGGGAUUACAGGCAUGCACCACCAUGCCUGGCAUUAAGUAUAAAUAUUAAGUACAAAAACCAAGUUAUGGAAAAAUAUGUAUGCUGUUGAUUUUUGUAAAUAAGUAGAACAACCAAAAAAGUUUAGUUCAACAGUAUGAAUUGCUUCAAGAUGCAGAAGUGAGAGGCAGUGAUUUCUAGCUUCUUCCAUGUAUAUUUGUUGUUUUGCUUAUCAUAACAAUUUUUAAAACAGAAGGCAAUUGGAUAAAGGCAACAUUAAUAGGGGAAAAAAUGACAAAGUAACUACACCAUGCCUGGGGACUCACUAAGCCCUCCAAAUAAACUCCACUCACUGGGUGACUUUCCAUGUGGUGUAUGUGAGGAUCGAUAGCUGCUUUGUUCUCCAGCUCGCAGGACCAGGAGGUUCUUGACACCAGGCUGCCCUGCCCAGUCACCUUGACCUCAGUUCCCAUGGGCAUCUCCAGGGCUGAGCAAACCAGCCUGGCCCCCCAGCUCUUCCCACAGCAUCCUGUCCCUGUCUCCCUGAGAGGCACCAGUAGCCUCCUCUAUAACCAGAGUUUUCUCUAGUUAUAGCCUCCAAGGAACCCUAAAUUCCAAGAGGCAGGCAUAGUGGUUCUUAUUAUGUCCCCAGCGCCUUGUCUGGCUCAUUGUAGGUGCUAAAUACAAUAAACAUUUGUUACAUGAAUAAACAAGAAGUAAAGGACUGAAUGCCAAACAUUAGUGAUACAAAGAAAACAUCAUCUGUGCCCUCGAAAUGGGGCGGUGGAGAGGCAGGCAUGUCAACAGCCCAGUUAUAACACAAACACAUAAUUAAUGUUGCGAGACAGUAGGAACUUAAGCUGCUCAAAACUGCCUGGGGAAAGUCUGGAAGGGUUCACAAGAGAGGAAGCUUUUAAUCAAAGUCAUGAAGAAUGAAUAGACAUUCACCAGCAAAAGAAAGGCACGGAGUGAUGUUUCCAAAACACAGGCUGCCUCUGCAAGGGCACAGUAGCAUGAAAGAGUGUGACACACUCUGCAAACCUCAAGAGAGUUAGCACUUCUGGAGCAUGAAGUUCAAGGUUAGGGAAAGGAGUAUACAAAAGAUAGUCAGGGGAGGUAACCAGGGGUGGUUACUCUGAAACCAAAUCAUUUGCAAAAGUCCUGCAGGGAGUUGCCUGGGGGUGCGGUGGGGGCUUGUAUGGAAGAGGGACGCUGAGGUAACUUUUGAGCAGCCUUGUGCCAUGAGGGAUUUGCAUGGGAACAGGAGAUGACAUCAGAUAGAAGAGAGUGGGCAGGAGCGUUAAAGAAAGAGGGUUACUAGCAUCUGCUGUUGAAGAACCAGGGCAGAGACGGUGUGGCCAGUGGAGAAGAGAUGGGUGACGCACAAGGAGGUCAGGUUGCUGUGGGGGUGCUGUAUGUCCUGGGGGAGGAGGAGAGGGGUGGUCAGAAUGGCCCUACAAUUUCCAGUUGGCUGACUUGUUUCAUUACAGUAACAACAACAAAAAAAAUACUGAAAGGGAAGUUAGUAUGAGAAAAAUGAAAACAGUGAACUUGGUUUGGACUCUGCUGAAUAUAAUCACUUUCUACAGCUACCAGAACAAAAUUCACAAACUGAAUGCUUUAAAACAAGAAAAAAUUUAUUUUCCCAUGGUUUUGGUGGCCAGGAAUCAAGAUGCUACCAGAGCCAUACUUGGUGUGUACCCUAGAGGGGAGAGUCCACCCCUUUCUGUUUGCCUCUUCCUAGUUGUUGUUGGUGGGUAAAAUAUUUGGGGGAUUCCUUGACUUGCAGCUGUGUCUUGCCAGCCUCUCUCCACUGUCACAUGUGCUCCCCUCGAUGUCUAUCUUUAUGUGGCACUGGUUUUCCUCUUCUUAUAGGACAGUCAUAGUAGAUCACAGCUCACCCUAAGGGUUCUUAACUACCUCUGCAAAAAUCUGAUUUUCAAAGAAGAUUAGCUUCACAGGUAUUAGAGGUUAAACUUCAACAACUUUUUAAAAGGCAGACAUAACUCUUAACUGAAGUUUUCAUCUGAAAGGCCCUGGGCCCUUGGGUAGAGAUGAGCAGAAGGCUCUGGAACAGGUAGGCUAAGCCUCAGGGCAGAGAUCUUGGCUGCUUCCCCUUAUUAGGACCUGCAGACAGAGACACAGCAAGAAGGUGAGUAGUCCAAGAGGAGAAGCCUUGCGGAAGAGGCAGAGCGUGUGUGUCCACGAGGGACCUGCACACACAGCCACAGCCAAGCUGCCUGCAUCCUUCCUUUCCUGAGAGCUCACCUCCACCAAAGUGCCCAGGCUUUGGUAGUUUGCUACCUGAUUCUUUCACGUCUGAAUUCCUCCCCUUCUAUUCCACACUGCUUUUCUUUCUUAUGCAGGAAGCAGUGGAGCCCUAUGGGCAUCUCCUGAAGGAGUCAGCAGGGUUAUUAUUACAAGACGUCAUCACUGGGGCAGCCGCCUGCCUGAACUCAGCGCUACAGUACUGCAUUGAAAAGCAAACAAGGCCCGCUUGUUUGUGUUUUGAGUUUCUCCAGACGCAAGCUGGCAGUUUUGUAAUAACACUGAGAAACAGCACUUCAGUGCAUCAGCAAAAUACCCCGUAUGGCCACUCCAGUGUUAUCCACAGUGGACACAGUUUCUCCUAAAUUGCACCCCGAAAGAUGCUACCCGGCUUGCUUUCAGGUGUCAGAGAAAGGUGCUGAUGCUAAAAAGUGGGGCUAAAGGUACAGGCAGCUGGGUGUAGGUCAGCCAAAGGCCCCUGUGUCCUUGAAAGGUGUGCCUUUUAAAGUAGGAUAGAAUGGUGGAAUAGACUGUCCGUGAGAGCGAAUGCUUAGCUGCCUUGUUCACACAUGUAGCUCCCACAUCCAGUAGAAUCAUAGUAGACACAAGACAAAUCUCCCCAAGGUAUACAUCGCCUAGGAUAUGAGACAUUCAUCGAUAGUGGAGCCAUCAAAAAUGGAAAGGCAUCAUGAUGCGCUGCUUACAGUAAUGCAGCCUCCUUUCCCUGUGAGCUUGUGGUCUGUGGCCAGACUUACUGUGAACGGCAGUCCUGAGCCUUUUCUUGCUGUAGCAAGAUCCAUCCUCUGAACCUCUGGAAAACCCUGGAAAAACAAUGGCCAGAUUGACCAUUGCAUUAUGACUUAAUAAACAUUGUGGCUAAUGUUUAUCAA